rnacentral:misc_RNA from 1 species
AGGCCUGCAGCAGCGGCUCAGGCCACGGCCGCGCGCGCGCCCAGCCGAGCGAGGACACCACCUCGCUCAUCUUGGCGUCGCAGAAGCGGCUGAGCCCCUCGCUGUAGUGCUUGGUGCCGUGGAGGAGGACCUCCUCCCACGUGAGCACCGCGACGGCGUGGUACGCCGCGAGGUUGGCCUGGCACCGGCCCGCGGGGUCCGUGGUGUGGGCGUCGGCGUCGGUGUCCAGCUCGAAGUCGGCGUGGAACGCGCGGUUGAGGAAGCUCUCGAGGCUCGGGCCGGGGCUGGAGGGGCUGCGGAGGUGGGCGGACAGCGCGCGCGCGAGGUUCCGCACGGCGGCGCGGGCGGUCGAGACGGCGCGGAGGAAGGAGUCGACGGGGAAGGCGGCCGCGGGGGUCGGGAGCACGCGCGCCUCGAGGCGCGCGAGCUUGUGCUCCAGCUCGGCGAGGGAGUGCUUCAGGCGCGUGGUCUCCUCCAGCGCCUCGUCCCGCGUGCGCGUGGCCGCGGCGAGCCUGCGGGAGAGGUCGGCCGCGGCGAGGCGCCACUGCUCGCCGUCCCCCGCGUCGGCGCCUGCCGAGGCCGGCGUGGCCGACGGCGACGAGCGCGGGGUGGAGCGGCGGGUGAGGGAGACGAACAGCGAGCGGAUGACGGCGCCGGGCGACGCCGGCGCGAGGGCGCGCUGCUUGAAGCGGCAGUCGGAGAAGGACACCGCCGCGACGUACGCCGCCGGUCCGGCGGCGUCCUUGGCCCCGCGGGGUGUUGUCUUGUUGCUGGCGCCGCCGUGACCGUGGUGGAGCGGUGUUGGGACGUGCGCGUACUUCUUGUCGGCCUUCUCCGGCGCCGCCUUGGUGCCGCCUCGCUGCUGCUUCGGCUCGGAGGCCUGACGGCGCACCAUUGUGCAGUGAACGACUCGUAUACUCAGCCACGGCAGAACCGCGGUAACAGAGGAGAGGAGGCAGGAGGAAGGAGGG